UCCUACGGGAGGCAGCAGUGAGGAAUAUUGGUCAAUGGGCGAGAGCCUGGAACCAGCCAAGUAGCGUGCAGGAUGACGGCCCUAUGGGUUGUAAACUGCUUUUAUAAGGGAAUAAAGUGAGCCUCGUGAGGCUUUUUGCAUGUACCUUAUGAAUAAGGACCGGCUAAUUCCGUGCCAGCAGCCGCGGUAAUACGGAAGGUCCGGGCGUUAUCCGGAUUUAUUGGGUUUAAAGGGAGCGUAGGCCGGAGAUUAAGCGUGUUGUGAAAUGUAGAUGCUCAACAUCUGCACUGCAGCGCGAACUGGUUUCCUUGAGUACGCACAAAGUGGGCGGAAUUCGUGGUGUAGCGGUGAAAUGCUUAGAUAUCACGAAGAACUCCGAUUGCGAAGGCAGCUCACUGGAGCGCAACUGACGCUGAAGCUCGAAAGUGCGGGUAUCGAACAGGAUUAGAUACCCUGGUAGUCCGCACGGUAAACGAUGGAUGCCCGCUGUUGGUCUGAAUAGGUCAGCGGCCAAGCGAAAGCAUUAAGCAUCCCACCUGGGGAGUA
rnacentral:rRNA from 1 species